rnacentral:rRNA from 1 species
AUUGAACACUGGCGGCAGGCCUAACACAUGCAAGUCGAGCGGGGUUUUCGGACCUAGCGGCGGACGGGUGAGUAAUGCGUAGGAAGCUACCCGAUAGAGGGGGAUACCAGUUGGAAACGACUGUUAAUACCCGCAUAAUGUCUACGGACCAAAGUGUGGGACCUUCGGGCCACAUGCUAUCGGAUGCGCCUACGUGGGAUUAGCUAGUUGGUGGGGUAAUGGCUCACCAAGGCGACGAUCCCUAGCUGGUUUGAGAGGAUGAUCAGCCACACUGGAACUGAGACACGGUCCAGACUCCUACGGGAGGCAGCAGUGGGGGAAUAUUGGACAAUGGCGCAAGCCUGAUCCAGCCAUGCCGCGUGUGUGAAGAA